AUCCAGCUGACGAGUCCCAAAUAGGGCGAAACAUGUUUCCAACUGGAU
rfam:Schistosoma rodhaini strain Burundi genome assembly, scaffold: SROB_scaffold0000289